rnacentral:rRNA from 1 species
CCUACGGGUGGCUGCAGUGGGGAAUAUUGGGCAAUGGGCGAAAGCCUGAUCCAGCCAUGCCGCGUGUGUGAAGAAGGCCUUCGGGUUGUAAAGCACUUUCAGUGGGGAAGAAAGCCUUGGGGCUAAUACCCUCGAGGAAGGACAUCACCCACAGAAGAAGCACCGGCUAACUCCGUGCCAGCAGCCGCGGUAAUACGGAGGGUGCGAGCGUUAAUCGGAAUUACUGGGCGUAAAGCGCGCGUAGGCGGUCUGAUAAGCCGGUUGUGAAAGCCCCGGGCUCAACCUGGGAACGGCAUCCGGAACUGUCAGGCUAGAGUGCAGGAGAGGAAGGUAGAAUUCCCGGUGUAGCGGUGAAAUGCGUAGAGAUCGGGAGGAAUACCAGUGGCGAAGGCGGCCUUCUGGACUGACACUGACGCUGAGGUGCGAAAGCGUGGGUAGCAAACAGGAUUAGAUACCCCUGUAGUC